rnacentral:rRNA from 1 species
AUGGCGGCGGGCCCCCGCUGCCAAACGGCGCCAGGGGCGGCUCCUUCUCGUGGUGGCGCUGGCGACCGCCGGACUCGGCUGGGGGCGGGGAUGGCGGCUGGCCGGCGCGGACAUGCCGGGGCGGCGGCCCCGGGGACGCGGAAGCAGGGGAGUGUGGUGGCCGGCGGUUCUCGGCUUGGGGGCUACGGGAUGGCCUCGUUUCGGGGGUCCGUGCUCUCCCAGAUCCGACCAGGACGACGGCUUCCAUGGCGGGCGGGCUGGGGCGUGGCUGCUCCGGCUGGCGUCUGCGGAUCCGUGGUGGUGGCGGUGUGCCAUGGAUCGACGGGGGCGGCGCGGCGGCGUCGCUCGAGGUUUUGGCCCAUGGAUGGUAGGCGGGUGUUGGCUGGUGGCGGAGCGGCUCCGGAAAGUGGAUCCUCAGAGUGGAAGCCGGGGCGGCGGCCCCGGAAAACCGUGCCGCAAGGUGGCGCGGUGGUUCGAGAUCUUGGCGGCGUGUGGUUGCUGUCGGCUGAUCUGUGGCUCGACGACGGCGACAUGCUACUUCCCUCUCCAUGGUAA